GCGGCUGUAGCUCAAUGGUAGAGCGCUGCCCUCCCAAGGCAGUGAUGCCGGUUCGAUCCCGGUCAGCCGCUCCA
rnacentral:tRNA from 7 species